CGGACGGGUGAGUAAUGUCUGGGAAACUGCCUGAUGGAGGGGGAUAACUACUGGAAACGGUAGCUAAUACCGCAUAACGUCGCAAGACCAAAGAGGGGGACCUUCGGGCCUCUUGCCAUCAGAUGUGCCCAGAUGGGAUUAGCUAGUAGGUGGGGUAAUGGCUCACCUAGGCGACGAUCCCUAGCUGGUCUGAGAGGAUGACCAGCCACACUGGAACUGAGACACGGUCCAGACUCCUACGGGAGGCAGCAGUGGGGAAUAUUGCACAAUGGGCGCAAGCCUGAUGCAGCCAUGCCGCGUGUGUGAAGAAGGCCUUCGGGUUGUAAAGCACUUUCAGCGAGGAGGAAGGUGGUGAACUUAAUACGUUCAUCAAUUGACGUUACUCGCAGAAGAAGCACCGGCUAACUCCGUGCCAGCAGCCGCGGUAAUACGGAGGGUGCAAG
rnacentral:rRNA from 1 species